rnacentral:rRNA from 1 species
UGGGGAAUAUUGCACAAUGGGCGCAAGCCUGAUGCAGCCAUGCCGCGUGUGUGAAGAAGGCCUUCGGGUUGUAAAGCACUUUCAGCGAGGAGGAAGGUGGUGAGCUUAAUACGCUCAUCAAUUGACGUUACUCGCAGAAGAAGCACCGGCUAACUCCGUGCCAGCAGCCGCGGUAAUACGGAGGGUGCAAGCGUUAAUCGGAAUUACUGGGCGUAAAGCGCACGCAGGCGGUUUGUUAAGUCAGAUGUGAAAUCCCCGGGCUCAACCUGGGAACUGCAUUUGAAACUGGCAAGCUAGAGUCUCGUAGAGGGGGGUAGAAUUCCAGGUGUAGCGGUGAAAUGCGUAGAGAUCUGGAGGAAUACCGGUGGCGAAGGCGGCCCCCCUGGACGAAGACUGACGCUCAGGUGCGAAAGCGUGGGGCAGCAAACAGGAUUAGAUACCCUGGUAGUCCAGCGCUGUAAACGAUGUCGAUUUGGAGGUUGUGCCCUUGAGGCGUGGCUUCCGGAGCUAACGCGUUAAAGUCGACCGCCUGGGGGAGUACGGCCGCAAGGUUAAAACUCAAAGGAAUUGAC